GACGAACGCUAGCGGCAGGCUUAAUACAUGCAAGUCGAGGGGCAGCAUGAAUGUAGCAAUACAUUUGAUGGCGACCGGCAAACGGGUUCGGAACACGUACACAACCUUCCUAUAAGUGGGGAAUAGCCCAGAGAAAUUUGGAUUAAUACCCCGUAACGUAAUGAUGUGGCAUCACAUUAUUAUUAUAGCUACGGCGCUUAUUGAUGGGUGUGCGGCUGAUUAGAUAGUUGGCGGGGUAACGGCCCACCAAGUCUACGAUCAGUAGCUGAUGUGAGAGCAUGAUCAGCCACACGGGCACUGAGACACGGGCCCGACUCCUACGGGAGGCAGCAGUAAGGAAUAUUGGUCAAUGGACGCAAGUCUGAACCAGCCAUGCCGCGUGAAGGAUUAAGGUCCUCUGGAUUGUAAACUUCUUUUAUCUGGGACGAAAAAAGGCGAUUCUUCGUCACUUGACGGUACCAGAUGAAUAAGCACCGGCUAACUCCGUGCCAGCCGCCGCAGUAAUAC
rnacentral:rRNA from 1 species